AUUGAACGCUGGCGGCAGGCUUAACACAUGCAAGUCGAGCGGGGGAAGGUAGCUUGCUACCGGACCUAGCGGCGGACGGGUGAGUAAUGCUUAGGAAUCUGCCUAUUAGUGGGGGACAACAUCUCGAAAGGGAUGCUAAUACCGCAUACGUCCUACGGGAGAAAGCAGGGGAUCUUCGGACCUUGCGCUAAUAGAUGAGUCUAAGUCAGAUUAGCUAGUUGGUGGGGUAAAGGCCUACCAAGGCGACGAUCUGUAGCGGGUCUGAGAGGAUGAUCCGCCACACGGGGACUGAGACACGGCCCAGACUCCUACGGGAGGCAGCAGUGGGGAAUAUUGGACAAUGGGGGGAACCCCGAUCCAGCCAUGCCGCGUGUGUGAAGAUGGCCUUAUGGUUGUAAAGCACUUUAAGCGAGGAGGAGGCUACUUUAGUUAAUACCUAGAGAUAGUGGACGUUACUCGCAGAAUAAGCACCGGCUAACUCUGUGCCAGCCGCCGCAGUAA
rnacentral:rRNA from 1 species